rnacentral:rRNA from 1 species
AAUCUUCCACAAUGGACGAAAGUCUGAUGGAGCAACGCCGCGUGAGUGAAGAAGGUUCUCGGAUCGUAAAGCUCUGUUGUAAGGGAAGAACGAGUACAGGAGUAACUGUCUGUACCUUGACGGUACCUUACCAGAAAGCCACGGCGAACUACGUUCCAGCAGCCGCGGUAAUACGUAGGUGGCAAGCGUUGUCCGGAAUUAUUGGGCGUAAAGCGCGCGCAGGCGGUCUUUUAAGUCAGGUGUUUAAUCCCGGGGCUCAACCCUGGUACGCACUUGAAACUGGGAGGCUUGAGUACAGAAGAGGAGAGUGGAAUUCCACGUGUAGCGGUGAAAUGCGUAGAGAUGUGGAGGAACACCAGUGGCGAAGGCGACUCUCUGGUCUGUCACUGACGCUGAGGCGCGAAAGCGUGGGUAGCAAACA